UACGUUCCCGGACCUUGUACACACCGCCCGUCAAGCCAUGGAGUUGGAGGACCUGAAGCCAGUUGCUGUAAGGCGCUGUUUAGGGUUAACCGAUGACUAGGGCU
rnacentral:rRNA from 1 species